rnacentral:rRNA from 1 species
GACCCCUAACUCUGUUUUUAUAAUGUUUUUCUGAGUAAACAAGCAAAUAAAUUAAAACUUUCAACAACGGAUCUCUUGGCUCUGGCAUCGAUGAAGAACGCAGCGAAAUGCGAUAAGUAAUGUGAAUUGCAGAAUUCAGUGAAUCAUCGAAUCUUUGAACGCACAUUGCGCCCGCCAGUAUUCUGGCGGGCAUGCCUGUUCGAGCGUCAUUACAACCCUCAGGCCCCCGGGCCUGGCGUUGGGGAUCGGCGGAAAGCCCCCUGUGGGCAUACGCCGUCCCCUAAAUACAGUGGCGGUCCCGCCGCAGCUUCCAUUGCGUAGUAGCUAACACCUCGCAACUGGAGAGCGGCGCGGCCAAGCCGUAAAACCCCCAACUUCUGAAUGUUGACCUCGAAUCAGGUAGGAAUACCCGCUGAACUUAAGCAUAUCAAUAAGCGGAGGA